rnacentral:rRNA from 1 species
ACGGAGGGUGCGAGCGUUGUCCGGAAUCACUGGGCGUAAAGGGCGCGUAGGCGGCUCGGUAAGCGUGCGGUGAAAGCCUGGGGCUCAACCCCGGGUCGGCCGUGCGAACUGUCGAGCUCGAGCACUGUAGAGGCAGGCGGAAUUCCGGGUGUAGCGGUGGAAUGCGUAGAUAUCCGGAGGAACACCAGUGGCGAAGGCGGCUUUCUGGACCGACACUGACGCUGAGGCGCGAAAGCUAGGGGAGCAAACGGGA